rnacentral:rRNA from 1 species
UACUUACUCCUACGGGAGGCAGCAGUGAGGAAUAUUGGUCAAUGGACGGAAGUUUGAACCAGCCAAGUAGCGUGAAGGAUGACUGCCCUCUGGGUUGUAAACUUCUUUUAUACGGAAAUAACAUGAGGUACGCGUACCUUAUUGCAUGUACCGUUAUGAAUAAGCAUCGGCUAACUCCGUGCCAGCAGCCGCGGUAAUACUGACA